AGUCAAUCGGUUUAUAAGAUAGUUUUUCGAACUGUUUGUUAUUAUUCGUGUUCAAUGAUGGAAUAAAAUCAAUGCGAAUUGUCUCUUAAUUUUUUUUAACUCAAUGUCCCCAUAACAAGUGGAAUCGAUCGAUAACCAUGCUCGACAGACACCAUGUGGUUUUCUCUCUCUCUAACCGUCGUCAUUUCAACUAUCUCUCGCCUCGUCUUUCAGCGACCGGAGUAUUGAUCCAACCGAGCAAUACUUAUACACACAGUGUAUGUAACAUUGUAAACGACCACGGUUGCCUACGAAUCUCGGAAGGGAAUUGUAAACGACGUUGUCCAAACUUUCUUCUUUUUAAUCGUAGUUUCAUGAACGCGUCCCUUUGCUCAUCCAUGCGAUCUGACACACAAAGCUUCUAUCACAAUUCAACGUUAGAUCCGCUUCGACGGACAUAGCGGUUGAAAUAAUCAGGACGCCAACACUUGCAGCUUCCAGGUACCAGGAACCAGUCAUAGUACAAUCUUACCUGUAUCGAAAAUAUAUGGAAUCAAGAAACAA